GAUGAACGCUAGCGGCAGGCUUAAUACAUGCAAGUCCUGGGGCAGCACAGAGUAGCAAUACUUGGGUGGCGACCGGCAAACGGGUGCGGAACACGUACGCAACCUUCCUUCAGGCGGGGAAUAGCCCAGAGAAAUUUGGAUUAAUACCCCAUAAAAUUUUGAGAUGGCAUCAUCUUAUUAUUAAAGCUUCGGCACCUGAU
rnacentral:rRNA from 1 species